rnacentral:piRNA from 1 species
UAAGAGGUGUUGACCAGAACUCUGGG